UACGAAGGGGGCUAGCGUUGCUCGGAAUCACUGGGCGUAAAGCGCACGUAGGCGGGUCUUUAAGUCAGGGGUGAAAUCCUGGAGCUCAACUCCAGAACUGCCUUUGAUACUGAGGAUCUCGAGUCCGGGAGAGGUGAGUGGAACUCCGAGUGUAGAGGUGAAAUUCGUAGAUAUUCGGGAGAACACCAGUGGCGAAGGCGGCUCACUGGCCCGGUACUGACGCUGAGGUGCGAAAGCGUGGGGAGCAAACAGG
rnacentral:rRNA from 1 species